CCUAUACUCUUUUUUAAAAUGUAUUUUUAUUUUUCUUCCCUCUCUCUCUCUCACUCCCUCUCCUCACCGGCUCAGUACACGUGUAUGCACUCUUGAGACAGUUAAAUGGUCCAAUCAAAUGCUUCUCUGUGAGCCUUUGCCUGGACCUCACGAUGGCUGUCAUGACAUCAGAUGGAGAGUGGAAAACCUCAUCGGGAGCUUCACCCAGUGCUGGAUUACAGGUAAGUUUUAGCAUUUUUAAUAACAUUUUAGUGUUUAUGGGGACCUAAAAAAAUUAAAUGAACAACAAAAAAUGGUUGAAGUAUCCUUCUAACUCUUUCUCUACUACACAAAAACCAUGGUCUGGAUCCCCUGGAUUGCUUAUGGGCCAUGAGGAAAUGGAGGGACUAUCAGCAUUCCUAAUCAAAGGAGAUCUAAGAAGUGAAGUAACUGAGUGGCUGAGAAGAAUGGGUUGCUAAUAUUGCUUGGGAGAGUUUAUAAAUAUGUUGGAAUUUGAUAAGAAUAUGACAUAUACAGUAAUAUGAUUUUAAGGAUGAGGGUCUAUUAAGAAUGGUCAACGUGUUAAGGAAAAUUAGGGUCUCAUCAGUAAGAAGUGUCUGAGAAACAAAAGGUUAUUGAUAAAAUG